rnacentral:misc_RNA from 1 species
GAUGAAGAACGCAGCGAAAUGCGAUAAGUAGUGUGAAUUGCAGAAUUCAGUGAACCAUCGAAUCUUUGAACGCACAUUGCGCCCCUUGGUAUUCCAUGGGGCAUGCCUGUUCGAGCGUCAUUUGUACCUUCAAGCUCUGCUUGGUGUUGGGUGUUUGUCUCGCCUCUGCGUGUAGACUCGCCUCAAAAUAAUUGGCAGCCGGCGUAUUGAUUUCGGAGCGCAGUACAUCUCGCGCUUUGCACUCAUAACGACGACGUCCAAAAGUACAUUUUUACACUCUUGACCUCGGAUCAGGUAGGGAUACCCGCUGAACUUAAGCAUAUCAAUAAGCGGAGGA